UACAGAGGGUGCGAGCGUUAAUCGGAAUUACUGGGCGUAAAGCGCACGUAGGUGGCGACGUAAGUCGGGUGUGAAAGCCCCGGGCUCAACCUGGGAAUUGCAUUCGAGACUGCAUUGCUGGAGUACGGAAGAGGAAGGCGGAAUUCCCGGUGUAGCGGUGAAAUGCGUAGAUAUCUGGAGGAACACCGGUGGCGAAGGCGGCGUUCUGGACUGUAUCUGACACUGAGGAACGAAAGCCAGGGGAGCAAACGGG
rnacentral:rRNA from 1 species